rnacentral:rRNA from 1 species
ACGUACACUCCUACGGGAGGCAGCAGUGAGGAAUAUUGGACAAUGGGUGGAAGCCUGAUCCAGCCAUCCCGCGUGCAGGAAGACGGCCCUAUGGGUUGUAAACUGCUUUUAUCUGGGGAUAAACCUACUUACGUGUAAGUAGCUGAAGGUACCAGAAGAAUAAGCACCGGCUAACUCCGUGCCAGCAGCCGCGGUAAUACGGAGGGUGCAAGCGUUAUCCGGAUUUAUUGGGUUUAAAGGGUCCGUAGGCGGACUGAUAAGUCAGUGGUGAAAUCCGACAGCUUAACUGUCGAACUGCCAUUGAUACUGUUAGUCUUGAGUAAGGUUGAAGUGGCUGGAAUAAGUAGUGUAGCGGUGAAAUGCAUAGAUAGUACUUAGAACACCAAUUGCGAAGGCAGGUCACUAAGUCUUAACUGACGCUGAUGGACGAAAGCGUGGGGAGCGAACAGGAUUAGAAACCCUUGUAGUCCCA